CAUGCAAGUCGAGCGGAAACGAGUUAUCUGAACCUUCGGGGAACGAUAACGGCGUCGAGCGGCGGACGGGUGAGUAAUGCCUGGGAAAUUGCCCUGAUGUGGGGGAUAACCAUUGGAAACGAUGGCUAAUACCGCAUAAUAGCUUCGGCUCAAAGAGGGGGACCUUCGGGCCUCUCGCGUCAGGAUAUGCCCAGGUGGGAUUAGCUAGUUGGUGAGGUAAGGGCUCACCAAGGCGACGAUCCCUAGCUGGUCUGAGAGGAUGAUCAGCCACACUGGAACUGAGACACGGUCCAGACUCCUACGGGAGGCAGCAGUGGGGAAUAUUGCACAAUGGGCGCAAGCCUGAUGCAGCCAUGCCGCGUGUAUGAAGAAGGCCUUCGGGUUGUAAAGUACUUUCAGCAGUGAAGAAGGCAGGUACGUUAAUAGCGUGCUUGUUUGACGUUAGCUGCAGAAGAAGCACCGGCUAACUCCGUGCCAGCAGCCGCGGUAAUACGGAGGGUGCGAGCGUUAAUCGGAAUUACUGGGCGUAAAGCGCAUGCAGGUGGUUUGUUAAGUCAGAUGUGAAAGCCCGGGGCUCAACCUCGGAAUUGCAUUUGAAAC
rnacentral:rRNA from 1 species